rnacentral:rRNA from 1 species
UGGGGAAUUUUGGACAAUGGGCGAAAGCCUGAUCCAGCCAUGCCGCGUGAGUGAAGAAGGCCUUCGGGUUGUAAAGCUCUUUCGGACAGAAAGAAAUCGCAUGAACUAAUACUUUGUGCGGAUGACGGUACUGUAAGAAGAAGCACCGGCUAACUACGUGCCAGCAGCCGCGGUAAUACGUAGGGUGCGAGCGUUAAUCGGAAUUACUGGGCGUAAAGGGUGCGCAGGCGGUUAUAUAAGACAGAUGUGAAAUCCCCGGGCUCAACCUGGGAACUGCGUUUGUGACUGUAUGACUAGAGUACGGUAGAGAGGGGUGGAAUUCCUGGUGUAGCAGUGAAAUGCGUAGAUAUCAGGAGGAACAUCGAUGGCGAAGGCAGCCCCUUGGACCUGUACUGACGCUCAUGCACGAAAGCGUGGGGAGCAAACAG